rnacentral:rRNA from 1 species
CAGAUCCAGCUUGCUGGAUGCUGACGAGCGGCGGACGGGUGAGUAAUGCAUAGGAAUCUGCCCGAUAGUGGGGGAUAACCUGGGGAAACCCAGGCUAAUACCGCAUACGUCCUACGGGAGAAAGGGGGCUCCGGCUCCCGCUAUGGGAUGAGCCUAUGUCGGAUUAUCUAGUUGGUGAGGUAACGGCUCACCAAGGCCACGAUCCGUAGCUGGUCUGAGAGGAUGAUCAGCCACAUCGGGACUGAGACACGGCCCGAACUCCUACGGGAGGCAGCAGUGGGGAAUAUUGGACAAUGGGGGAAACCCUGAUCCAGCCAUGCCGCGUGUGUGAAGAAGGGCCUCGGGUUGUAAAGCACUUUCAGCGAGGAAGAACGCCUAGCGGUUAAUACCCGCUAGGAAAGACAUCACUCGCAUAAGAAGCACCGGCUAACUCCGUGCCAGCAGCCGCGGUAAUACGGAGGGUGCAAGCGUUAAUCGGAAUUACUGGGCGUAAAGCGCGCGUAGGUGGCUUGAUAAGUCGGUUGUGAAAGCCACGGGCUCAACCUGGGAACGGCAUCGGGAACUGUCAAGCUAGAGUGCAGGAGAGGAAGGUAGAAUUCCCGGUGUAGCGGUGAAAUGUGUAGAGAUCGGGAGGAAUACCAGUGGCCAAGGCGCCGUUAUGGACUGACACUGACACUGAGGUGUGAAAGCGUGGUUAGCAAACAGGAUUAGAUACCGUGGUAGCUCCACGCCGUAAACGAUGUCGUCCAGCCGUUGGGUGCCUAGCGCACUUUGUGGCGAAGUUAACGCGAUAAGUCGACCGCCUGGGGAGUACGGCCGCAAGGUUAAAACUCAAAUGAAUUGACGGGGGCCCGCACAAGCGGUGGAGCAUGUGGUUUAAUUCGAUGCAACGCGAAGAACCUUACCUACUCUUGACAUCCUGUGAAUUUGGUAGGGAUACGUUAGGCCUUCGGGAACGCAGAGACAGGUGCUGCAUGGCUGUCGUCAGCUCGUGUUGUGAAAUG